rnacentral:rRNA from 1 species
GACAUCUGGCAGAGACUGUGGCCGCCCGGUCCCAGCAGACCCCAGAGAACAACCACAUUCGCUGGUGCUGGAACAAGGUCAUUGUGGGUGAAGCCUGGUGCCAGACGUGU